UUUAGUUAAGUUUAUUAUUUAUAAACACUUAGUUAUGAAUAUUUUUUUUUAUAUAGAUUUCCUAUAAAAAAUUAGCAAUUAACUCAACUGUAGCCAAUCGAUGUUAAAAGCGAAUUAGUGUAAAAUUUGUUGAAAAAACACUCAUAGAUUUGACAUAUUGACAUCUUCUUUUAUAUAUUAUUUUAAUAAAAGUGAAAAAUAGUUACGUUCAAAAUAUCUAGGAUCGCAGCGGUCGCAUAGAAAAAAGGUCUAGUCGAUACAAAUAUACAAUUAUUAUGGCUCUAAUAGGUUAUAGCCGUUAUAGGUAUAUUUUGCAUCAGAAAAAAAUAAUAAUUUACAAAUUCACUACAUCAAAUGUUGCGGUUUCCAGCGUUCCGUUUAAAUAAAUAAAAGGGGUACGCUACAGAAAAAAAGAAAAAAGAAGGCGGACUCCGUCCCCCCACGUCCUCUCCCAAUUCAAGCACUGCUUAAGAUAUACAUAAGGAAUACUAUAUGAAACAAACACGAUUAAAUGAUAUUUCCAUUCUUCAUGUUCACCGUGACAAUAGGAAAUAAAUUUACUAUUUAGAAAGUGUUGCUACUUUAUUAAUAAUUGUAAAGUGCGGAAAAAUACAUUUUCUAUAAUAUAAAACAUGUAAAACUGUACACGUGUUUAUAAAAUAGUGAGCCCCCCAUGACAUUUUCAAAACCCAACGUCUCUGGGCGAAGCAACCGGUUACUCAAAUUACGGAAAAAAACAAGGAAAAGAAACCAAGAAAAAACCACGAUAAAAAAAUCAAAAUUUUAUCUUUUGCUAUACUAUAGGUUUAGGUAUGUCAUACAAUAUUUCAUUAGAAAUAAGUUUUAAUUUUCUAAUUAAAAAUUUAGAUCAAUAAUCCAACUACCCAGGUAUUCUAUUUGUUGAAUACUUUCGUAACCAAAUGUAUAUAUUUUGAAUAAUUAAAAAAUAUGGUAAUGGUCUAGUUAACCUCCGCCACUUUAGUUGACGCCCGUCACUUAUUACAUCUCUCGUGUCUUGUGUUUUCGAUGUUAUAAUCAAUAAUCAAUAAUUAAAAAA